UACGGGGGAGUAAGCGUUGUUCGGAAUUACUGGGCGUAAAGGGCUCGUAGGCGGCCAACUAAGUCAUACGUGAAAUCCCUCAGCUUAACUGGGGAACUGCGUGUGAUACUGGAUGGCUUGGAUUUGGGAGAGGGAUGCGGAAUUCCAGGUGUAGCGGUGAAAUGCGUAGAUAUCUGGAGGAACACUGGUGGCGAAGGCGGCAUCCUGGACCAAUAUUGACGCUGAGGAGCGAAAGCUAGGGGAGCAAAGCGGG
rnacentral:rRNA from 1 species